rnacentral:rRNA from 1 species
UAGCGAUAAAGGGGGUGAAAGGCCCCCUCGCCGUAAGCCCAAGGUUUCCUACGCAACGUUCAUCGGCGUAGGGUGAGUCGGCCCCUAAGGCGAGGCAGAAAUGCGUAGCUGAUGGGAAGCAGGUCAAUAUUCCUGCACCAUUGUUAGAUGCGAUGGGGGGACGGAUCGCGGAAGGUUGUCCGGGUGUUGGAAGUCCCGGUCGCUGCAUUGGAGAAGGCACUUAGGCAAAUCCGGGUGCGCAAUUCAAGGGUGUGGCGCGAGCUUCUUCGGAAGCGAAGCAAUUGGAAGUGGUUCCAAGAAAAGCCUCUAAGCUUCAGUCUAACGAUGACCGUACCGCAAACCGACACAGGUGGGCGAGAUGAGUAUUCUAAGGCGCUUGAGAGAACUCGGGAGAAGGAACUCGGCAAAUUGGUACCGUAACUUCGGGAUAAGGUACGCCCUUGUAGCUUGACUGGCCUGCGCCAGGAGGGUGAAGGGGUUGCAAUAAACUGGUGGCUGCGACUGUUUAAUAAAAACACAGCACUCUGCAAACACGAAAGUGGACGUAUAGGGUGUGACGCCUGCCCGGUGCCGGAAGAUUAAAUGAUGGGGUGCAAGCUCUUGAUUGAAGUCCCGGUAAACGGCGGCCGUAACUAUAACGGUCCUAAGGUAGCGAAAUUCCUUGUCGGGUAAGUUCCGACCUGCACGAAUGGCGUAACGAUGGCCACACUGUCUCCUCCCGAGACUCAGCGAAGUUGAAGUGUUUGUGAUGAUGCAAUCUACCCGCGGCUAGACGGAAAGACCCCAUGAACCUUUACUGUAGCUUUGCAUUGGACUUUGAACCGAUCUGUGUAGGAUAGGUGGGAGGCUAUGAAACCGGAACGCUAGUUUCGGUGGAGCCGUCCUUGAAAUACCACCCUGGUUUGUUUGAGGUUCUAACCUUGGCCCGUGAUCCGGGUCGGGGACAGUGCAUGGUAGGCAGUUUGACUGGGGCGGUCUCCUCCCAAAGCGUAACGGAGGAGUACGAAGGUACGCUAGGUACGGUCGGAAAUCGUGCUGAUAGUGCAAUGGCAUAAGCGUGCUUAACUGCGAGACCGACAAGUCGAGCAGGUGCGAAAGCAGGUCAUAGUGAUCCGGUGGUUCUGUAUGGAAGGGCCAUCGCUCAACGGAUAAAAGGUACUCUGGGGAUAACAGGCUGAUACCGCCCAAGAGUUCAUAUCGACGGCGGUGUUUGGCACCUCGAUGUCGGCUCAUCUCAUCCUGGGGCUGUAGCCGGUCCCAAGGGUAUGGCUGUUCGCCAUUUAAAGAGGUACGUGAGCUGGGUUUAAAACGUCGUGAGACAGUUUGGUCCCUAUCUGCCGUGGGCGUUGGAUAUUUGAAGGGGGCUGCUCCUAGUACGAGAGGACCGGAGUGGACGAACCUCUGGUGUACCGGUUGUCACGCCAGUGGCAUCGCCGGGUAGCUAUGUUCGGAAGAGAUAACCGCUGAAAGCAUCUAAGCGGGAAACUCGCCUUAAGAUGAGAUAUCCCUGGGGACUAGAUCCCCUUGAAGGGUCGUUCGAGACCAGGACGUUGAUAGGUCAGGUGUGUAAGCGCAGUAAUGCGUUCAGCUAACUGAUACUAAUUGCCCGUAAGGCUUGAUCCU